rnacentral:lncRNA from 1 species
UCAAAAAAGAAAAGGAAGGACACUUCAUACUCAUCAAACGAAAAAAAUUACCAAAAUGAACUCUCAAUUCUGAACAUCUAUGCUCCAAAUGCAAGUGCAUCCACAUUCAUAAAAGAAACUUUACUAAAGCUCAAAGCAUACAUUGCACCACCCACAAUAAUAGUAGGACACUUAAACACCACUCUCUUCAAUUGACAGAUUGGAAACAGAAACUAAACAGACACAGUGAAACUAACAAGUUAUGAACCAACUGGAUUUAACAGACAUCUAUAGAACAUUUCAUUCUAAAACAAAAGAAUACACCUUCUCAGCAUCUUAUGGUACCUUCUCAAAAAUUGACCAUAUAAUUGGUCACAAAACAGGCCUCAAUAGAUACAAGGAAACUGAAAUAAUCCCAUACAUCCUAUCAAAUUACCAUGGACUAAGGCUGCUUCAAUAACCAAAAAAAAAAAAAAAA